AGUGAACGCUGGCGGCGUGCCUAAUACAUGCAAGUCGAACGGAGUGGAGCACGGGGGAGUACUGUAUAGCUAAUCCGCCCUACACUAGAGGACAAAAGUUGGAAACGACUGCUAAUACUCGAUAGUGUAGGAUGAGGAUAUAUUGUAUAAGCUAGUUGGUGAGGUAAUGGCUCACCAAGGCUAUGACGCAUAACUGGUCUGAGAGGAUGAUCAGUUACACUGGAACUGAUACACGGUCCCGGCUCCUACGGGAGGCAGCAGUAUGGACUAUUGCUCAAUGGGGGAAACCCUGAGGCAGCAGCGCCGCUGGGAGGAUGACACUUUUCGGAGCGUAAACUCCUUUUGUUAGGGAAGCGGUACCUAACGAAUAAGCACCGGCUAACUCCGUGCCAGCAGCCGCGGUAAUUC
rnacentral:rRNA from 1 species